GCAUCUGCAGUUCCUACAAUCUAUGGAAUUGACUUGAUCUUUUUGCAUAUUUCAAUAAAUACUGGUGAGACUUUUGAGCAAAGGAGUUUCUUCUUGAUUCUAAAACCGAGGAACUGAGAAGUCGAGGUUAUCAAUUUAACCCCAUUCUCCACUUUGAGUAACUGCAUGAAAUGGCUGUCAGCUUCAUCAUUUCAUUGCACUCUGAUAAUAAAGCAUUCUUGAUUUCAAAGCGAUGUACUUUGUACUUUUAUACAAGUUGCUAUUAUUUGCGAGUGAGACAGUUUUACUUGCAUUUCAGUUUUUUUCAUUCCCGUGUCCUUCACAGAAUGCUCCCCUCUGUUGACAUAGCCAAAUAUAGAAUCACUAUGUCAGUAAUCAACGGGGCAAUGUCUGUGGUCUGCUAAACUCUGACGUAAUAUUGUGUCCACUUACCUAUUCUGUAGAUUGGUGUGGCUGAAUCUUUACGUAAAUAGAGAACAAAACUUUGUGUUUUAAGAAAAAAGCAAUACAAUUUGAAUGUUUAAAUAUGUAUCUGAAGAUAGUUGUAUUUCAAGACAGUGCAUUUACAUAGAAAAAUUGGUUCUGCCUGUCGCUUGUUGCUGGUAGAUUCUGUCAAACAGGUGUUGUUACUGCAGUUUUUGAUUCUUAUAAUCUGUUAUCAUAAUUGCUGUUCUCCUGUGAUUCUCAAUGGGAUGAUGCUAAAUAUUUCAUUUUUAAACUCUUUCAUGCUUCGAAUUUGAUGACCUAGCAGAAACGGGACAAAGUCUUAAUCACAUUAGCCCACACAAGUCACCACAAAAUUUCCACCAAAGUUUGAUCAAAAUAAACUCAAUUUCUCAUGAUGAGGAAGCAACACCUUCUCAGCAGAAAAAUGCUUCAAAUCUGCAACAUGCUAGAGAACCAGCAAAGCAAGCAGCUGGUGUGAAACUGACAGAAGCUGAUAAAGCUCUGACUGGUAGGGUAAAAUUCUCAGUUUUCUGGGCAUAUAUGAAGGCGAUUGGGAUCUGCAUUUCUUUCUGCAUUGUUCUUUUCUACCUAUGCCAACAUGUAGCGUCCUUGUCCUCUAAUUACUGGUUGAGUUUAUGGACGGACGAUCCAGUUGUUAAUGGGACCCAGCAACAUACUUCACUCAGACUGGCAGUGUAUGGCGCACUCGGACUUGCUCAAGGU